rnacentral:misc_RNA from 1 species
GUGAAGAACGCAGCGAAAUGCGAUAAGUAAUGUGAAUUGCAGAAUUCAGUGAAUCAUCGAAUCUUUGAACGCACAUUGCGCCCGCCAGUAUUCUGGCGGGCAUGCCUGUCCGAGCGUCAUUUCAACCAUCAAGCCCCCGGGCUUGUGUUGGGGACCUGCGGCUGCCCGCAGGCCCUGAAAACCAGUGGCGGGCUCGCUGUCACACCGAGCGUAGUAGCAAUCACCUCGCUCAGGGCGUGCUGCGGGUUCCGGCCGUUAAACAGCCUUACAAAACCCAAGGUUGACCUCGGAUCAGGUAGGAAGACCCGCUGAACUUAAGCAUAUCAAUAAGCGGAGGA